UUUGACGCGUCUUACAAUCUCUUACACUAACGUGUUCAACGUUCAAUCGUCUCUUAUCCUCUUGAUCAGUCAUUUUAAAGUGUUAAAGCAGCACUACUUAGCUAAUAACGAUAGCUAGUAUGGCCGGAGUAUACAAUUCAUUUCACAUAGCUGACUUAUGGAUAGCAGGCUCUACGAAAGAAGUCUGUAUUGUUCAUGAUCUCUGGUUGUUAGAUGAUGGGUUGGCAUGCCUUUGGCCACCGGCUUCCAUGAAGGUUACAUCACAUGUAAAGCUUCAAAAGCUGCUGCGUUUGAACACAAAGCCAUCAUCAAUUUGGAUUCGUUAUUUCUGUAAAGUUCGCAAGUCCUUUGAAACCUUAGAAAAUGCCGAACUAUUUUUCAACUCAAGAAAUGUGGAAUUGAGUGAACAAUCAGCUGCCGAAGAAACAGGAAAAAUUCCCUUGAAAAGAGCCAGAAGACCAACAGAAAGAUACUCACCAACUCUAAGCUCAAAUGAGUCAUCUAGUGCAUCGGAAUCUGAUGAAGAAGCAGAAGCUGCUUCAAAAUCAGCAGCUAGUAGAAUCAAUCGAAGUUAUUCUGCCAGACACUAUCUGCAGUUACCUAAUAUUCCAAUGCCCUCUGCUCCAUCUAUCAUUUCCGGGCUCUCCCCGUCUUUAUAGAGGCUCUUACUGGGGUUAUUAAUGGAUCAUUGGAAUCAACUAGUAGUAGAGCAACCAGAAAGAAUGUGGACAAAACACAGCCGCAACAAACCCAAUCUUCUCUCUUCGCUGGCAUGCCGUUGCAUGAC